rnacentral:rRNA from 1 species
GAAUAUUGGACAAUGGGGGGAACCCUGAUCCAGCCAUGCCGCGUGUGUGAAGAAGGCCUUUUGGUUGUAAAGCACUUUAAGCGAGGAGGAGGCUACUCUAGUUAAUACCUAGAGAUAGUGGACGUUCCUCGCAGAAUACUCACCGGUGAAACCUGUUCCAGCAGCCGCGGGAAUACAGAGGGUGCAAGCGUUAAUCGGAUUUACUGGGCGUAAAGCGCGCGUAGGUGGCCAAUUAAGGCAAAUGUGAAAUCCCCGAGCUUAACUUGGGAAUUGCAUUAGAUACUGGUUGGCUAGAGUAUGGGAGAGGAUGGUAGAAUUCCAGGUGUAGCGGUGAAAUGCGUAGAGAUCUGGAGGAAUACCGAUGGCGAAGGCAGCCAUCUGGCCUAAUACUGACACUGAGGUGCGAAAGCAUGGGGAGCAAACA